UACGUAGGGUGCAAGCGUUAAUCGGAAUUACUGGGCGUAAAGCGUGCGCAGGCGGUUUUGUAAGUCUGACGUGAAAUCCCCGGGCUCAACCUGGGAAUUGCGUUGGAGACUGCAAGGCUAGAAUCUGGCAGAGGGAGGUAGAAUUCCACGUGUAGCAGUGAAAUGCGUAGAGAUGUGGAGGAAUACCGAUGGCGAAGGCAGCCUCCUGGGCCAACACUGACGCUCAUGCACGAAAGCGUGGGGAGCAAACAGG
rnacentral:rRNA from 1 species